AAAGUCGUAACAAGGUUUCCGUAGGUGAACCUGCGGAAGGAUCAUUCAAAAGUGUGAAUGGCACUUUAUCAAUAUCCAUUACCCACCUUGUGUGCAAUGUCGUUGGGGGAGGACAAUUGUCCUCUCCUUUCAUAUACAUACCAACUCUUUUUCAGUAUCAGUCUACAAUCUAUUUGGAGUAAUAAAAAACUCGAAAUACAACUUUCAACAACGGAUCUCUUGGCUCUC
rnacentral:misc_RNA from 1 species